rnacentral:piRNA from 1 species
UGUGCUUGGUGUAGGGUCUCACUGU